CAGCAGCAGGUGCCAGAGUGGCCUCUAGAUAUCAAAGAAGCACAUUGCUCCUGAAAACCAAAACUACAGCUAGCAGCUUGGAGACCCCAGGUCUCUUCAGUAUAGGAAUCUGAAGCCUGAAGUACAUCAAACCCUUCACUGAAGCUGUAAGAAAACACUCCCCAAACAUCUAUCAUAAGAUCUUCAGAUGAGGACAUGGGCAAGUUGUCUGAAUUAGCCAUCAGUCACCAACAAGCAUUCCUGAGGUUUUGUCAGAACAAGGACUUCAGAACCAGACCAUGAGUAGAACUGCAUUAGGAUUUGGCACUGCAUUAAGGUGA